UUCAUAUAAAAUGUUUCUUUUUCUUUAUUGUAGGGAUUUUACGGAGAAAGAUUUGGAGAGGAUGUGGUUGAAGUAAUCAAAGACUCUAAUCCUGUAGACAAGUGUAAAUUAGAUCCUAACAAGGCAUAUAUUCAGAUUACCUAUGUGGAGCCAUACUUUGACACAUAUGAGAUGAAGGACAGAAUCACCUAUUUCGACAAAAAUUACAAUCUUCGUCGAUUCAUGUACUGUACACCCUUUACUUUAGAUGGCCGUGCCCAUGGGGAACUUCAUGAACAAUUCAAAAGGAAGACCAUUCUGACUACGUCUCAUGCCUUUCCUUAUAUUAAAACAAGGGUCAAUGUCACUCAUAAAGAAGAGGUAAGUCCAUUAAUGGGCAAACAGCAUUAGUGAAGCAAAUACAUUCAAGCCAUGUAACAACAACUCAGAUGUACCAGAAGAUAUGUACCAUCCCUUAUACCAUAACAUAUUAGAACUUUACCCAUUUUUGAGUCCUCAAUUUUUUACUUCUUUUCUAAGACCCUAAUUCACCCCCAGCUUUUUCUUUAAAAGGUUGAUUUUUUUUUUUUCAUUUAGGAAUCCAAGUUUGGAAUUUUAUUGUUACAUGAAAGUUUACAAUUGAUCUUUUUUUUUUCUAAUUUCAGUUGAUUAUACAUAAAGUUCAUUAAAUAGUUUUCAGUCAGUACACUGAUUUAACAGAUGCUCUUUUACUCAGAUCAUCUUAACACCAAUUGAAGUUGCUAUUGAGGACAUGCAGAAAAAGACACAGGAGUUGGCAUUUGCAACACAUCAGGAUCCCGCAGACCCCAAAAUGCUUCAGAUGGUACUCCAGGGAUCUGUAGGCACCACAGUGAA
rnacentral:lncRNA from 1 species